rnacentral:rRNA from 1 species
GACGAACGCUGGCGGCGUGCUUAACACAUGCAAGUCGAACGAUGAACCCGGAGCUUGCUCCGGCGGAUUAGUGGCGAACGGGUGAGUAACACGUGAGUAACCUGCCCUUGACUCUGGGAUAACUGCGGGAAACUGUAGCUAAUACCGGAUACGACCCUCGGCGGCAUCGCCAGGGGGUGGAAAGAAUUUCGGUCAAGGAUGGACUCGCGGCCUAUCAGCUAGUUGGUGAGGUAACGGCUCACCAAGGAGACGACGGGUAGCCGGCCUGAGAGGGUGGCCGGCGAAACUGGGACUUGGGCACGGGGCAGACUCGUACGGGAGGCAGCAGUGGGGAAUAUUGCAAAAUGGGCGCAAGCCUGAUGCAGCAACGCCGCGUGAGAGAUGACGGCCUUCGGGUUGUAAACCUCUUUUAGUAGGGAAGAAGCGAAAGUGACGGUACCUGCAGAAAAAGCACCGGCUAACUACGUGCCAGCCGCCGCGGUAA